CAUCCGCAGUGAAAACAACUAAGCGUUGUUCGACUCAUCUGGAGUUGAAGAAGGUUUAACUGAAUGUCUGUUCUGUAAUGUGUUUUAAUUAAAGUUGUUCUUGUUUUUUGUGGAGAUCUACUACUAUGCGUUGCAUCUUCGUUGAGUAUGUAUUCCCUUAUAAUGUUGUGUUGUGUGGCUGAUCUAUACGACCUUCCCAUAUAAGAAAAUGCAAUACAAGUGAUUUCUUUUCUACCCCUACCAUACCACAUAUUCCAAUAAUAGUGAUGCUUUCAUUUCUCAAAGCCACCAUUACCUCUUCCUCAAUCGAUUUUCUUGAUGCAAACUCCUCAUCGCCGUUAUUUGGUAUAGCUUCAAUUCCAACAAGUGGUGCAGGAUAGGAGAAAUCAACAUAAUCUCCGCCAUCCACUGCAAUUUUCUUAGCUCUUCUGCUCAGCAAGUAACUGUUAGAUCUACAAAAUUGCAGAUUCAUGUGUUGAGAAAACCCUAAAGGUGGAGAAGAAAGAGGAGAAACAGUGUUUCAUUGUGUAAUGAGUUCAUCUGUACAUUAGGCGUAUUUACCUAAAUAAUAGAAAUAUGGACGGGCCAAUGCCAACUUGGGCCUGGAUCAACAUUUUGAAACAUGGGCCGAUG
rnacentral:lncRNA from 1 species